rnacentral:rRNA from 1 species
CCUACGGGGGGCUGCAGUGGGGAAUAUUGGACAAUGGGGGGAACCCUGAUCCAGCCAUGCCGCGUGUGUGAAGAAGGCCCUCGGGUUGUAAAGCACUUUCAGUGAGGAAGAACGCCUGGGGGUUAAUACCCAGCAGGAAAGACAUCACUCACAGAAGAAGCACCGGCUAACUCCGUGCCAGCAGCCGCGGUAAUACGGAGGGUGCGAGCGUUAAUCGGAAUUACUGGGCGUAAAGCGCGCGUAGGUGGCUUGAUAAGCCGGUUGUGAAAGCCCCGGGCUCAACCUGGGAACGGCAUCCGGAACUGUCAAGCUAGAGUGCAGGAGAGGAAGGUAGAAUUCCCGGUGUAGCGGUGAAAUGCGUAGAGAUCGGGAGGAAUACCAGUGGCGAAGGCGGCCUUCUGGACCGAUACUGACACUGAGGUGCGAAAGCGUGGGUAGCAAACAGGAUUAGAUACCCGUGUAGUC